rnacentral:rRNA from 1 species
CAGCCGCCACGGUAAUACGUAGGUGGCAAGCGUUGUCCGGAAUUAUUGGGCGUAAAGGGCUCGCAGGCGGUUUCUUAAGUCUGAUGUGAAAGCCCCCGGCUCAACCGGGGGGGGUCAUUGGAAACUGGGAAACUUGAGUGCAGGAGAGAAAAGUGAAAUUCCUAGUGUGGCGGUGAAAUGCGUAGAGAUUAGGAGGAACACCAGUGGCGAAGGCGGCUUUUUGGCCUGUAACUGACACUGAGGCGCGAAAGCGUGGGGAGCAAACAGGAUUAGAUACCCCCGUAGUCCCUGUCUCUUAUAA